ensembl:lncRNA
CCUCGGACAGCUCCUCAGUGUGUGGGCGGGGCUUGUGACCUGAGUGCACUUCCUGGUCCCAGCAGGAGGGGACCACAGGUGCCCGCUGUGCGAUGGUCCUUCGAGAGGAAGAGUUGCCACAGGGGCAAGGAGGAGCCAAACCACAGUUUCAGGCUUACACCAAACCUAAAAGUUCAGAGAGGCUGUGUUUUCUGUUUCUCUGGCCUGUUCUUUGUUUAAUGGCCCUGGAGAUCUUCCUGCUUCUGUACCAGGUAGAUUCUUGUGGCUAUCAUGGGGUCAUCCAACAGACGGAGUCCUGAUCGUGUGUUAAUGGGGACCCUACCGCAUUCCUUAAAGUAUCGUUCAUGAGAGAAUAAAACAUGUACCAAAGUGGCAUAAUCAUAAAUCUACCCAUAAUCAUGUAAAUAACUCCCACAGUCCCAAGAACUGAGGAGGCCUGCUUUUCGAACCAUUUCCUCAGGGAAGCCAUAGGGAAGUUAUCAAGAACUUUAUGCUUGACUGCAGGACUCUGAAAGGGCGGGUUGUGAACAGGGACAGACUUGCUCCCAGAGUCUCGCCAGUAACAAGGAGGACCACACUCCCUGCAGCUGAACAGAAAGUGCUGAGACCUUUUCUGCCUGAAGAAUGUCAUUGUUCUGAUGCUUAAAUCAUAGAUUGCUUAGAGAAUUCUGCAUUGGAAGCCACUUUCCUCUUGAAAUUUCAAGGUAUCAUAUGGACUUUUAGUUUGCAGUGUUACCUCUGAGAACCUCAAAGUCACAGUGAUUCUUGUUUCUUUGUGUUCAGUCUUGUGUUUUGAUGUGAUUACUUUGCAAGUUGUAGAAUUUUUCUCUCUGUCAUGAUAAUGAGCUGAGUCCUGGGUUCUUGGUAGGCCCUUCCAAUCUAGAAACUCUGUUUCAAGUCUAAGCAAUUCUUUUGAAUACUUUCUUCUUAAAAAAAUUAUUAUUGUUGUUAUUAUUUUUUGCUUUUUCUCCUCUGCUUUUUGCUUUCUUAGAGAUUGCAACUUUAUUUUCAAAGCCUUCUGUUGUGUCUUUAUUUCCAGGUGUUUUUCUCGUCCUUAGUAUAUCUUUUGUGUAUGUCGUCUUAUUUCUUAUUGCAGUAUCUUAUCUCUUUAAGGAUGUUAAUUUAUUCAGCACAUCGUCAUAAUAUGCUUAUUCAGUGCCAUACAUUUUUCUAGGCACUUGGAAUCCAUCAAUGAUCAAAACAGUCAAAAAAAAAAUCUCAUCUUGUGGAGUCUGGUAUAGCAGAGAGACAAUAAGUCUAGAUAAGCAAAUUUUCUCCUAUGUUGUAAGAUAUUAAGUAAUAAUAGGAUAUAAUAAAGCAAGAGACUGACAUGGUGGAGAGAACACACAUUACUGUUUUAAGCAGGAUGGUCAGUGAGACUAGAGACGGUGACAGCCAAGACUUGAAGAAGUUCAUGGAGUUGGCCAGACGAGUGUCUGGAAAGAGCAUCAGACAGAUAGCGUGCCCUGCUCAAGAGCAGAGACAGUACGGUGGGGAGGGAAGGCCAUUCUAAAGACUCUUUUACUCUGGGUGAAGUACAGAGUCACUUGAGGGUUUGUGCAAAGGAAGGAUGAUACCUAAUUUAUGUGUUGACUCCUGAGAAAAUGCCAGGAGGAUGCACGGAAACCAGAAGGCUGGUCCAGGAGAGAAACGAUGUGGCUAUGCAAGAACGAUGGGACUCUCAGUUCAGUUCAGUCCCUCAGUCGUGUCCAACUCUUUGCGACCCCAUGGACCACAGCAGGCCAGACCUCCGUGUGUAUCACCAACUUCUGGAAUUUACUCAAACUUGUGUCCAUCGAGUUGGUGAUGCCAUCCAACCAUCUCAUCCUCUGUCAUCCCCUUCUCCUCCUGCCCUCAAUCUUUCCCAGCAUCAGGGUCUUUCGAAAUAAGUCAGUUCUUCACAUCAGGUGGCCAGAGUUUUGGAGUUUCAGCUUCAGCAUCAGUCCUUCCAAUGAAUAUUGAGGGCUGAUUUCUUUUAGGAUGCACUGGUUGGAUCUCCUUGCAGUCCAAGGGACUCUCAAGAGUCUUCUCCAACGUCUUAGUUCAAAAGCAUCAAUUCUUCGACACUCAGCUUUCUUUAUAGUCCAACUCUCACAUCCGUACAUGACUACUGGAAAAACCAUAGUCAUGAUGGACUAGACUAGAUGGAAUUUUGUUGGCAAAGUAACAUCUCUGCUUUUUAAUAUGCUGUCUAAGUUGGUCAUAACCUUUCUCCCAAGGAGUAAGCGUCUUUUAAUUUCAUGGCUACAGUCACCAUCUGCGGUGAUUUGGGAGCCCAAGAAAAUAAAGUCAGCGACAGUUUCCGCUGUUUCCCCAUCUAUUUGCUAUGAACUGAUGGGACCGGAUGCCAUGAUCUUCGUUUUCUGAAUGUUGAGCUUUAAGCCAACUUUUUUACUCUCCUCUUUCACUUUCAUCAAGAGGCUCUUCAGCUCUUCUUCACUUUCUGCCAUAAAGGUGGUGUCAUCUGUAUUUCUUAGGUUAUUGAUAUUUCUCCCGGCAAUCUUGAUUCCAGCUUGUGCUUCUUCCAGCCCAGCGUUUCUCAUGAUGUACUCUGCAUAUAAGUUAAAUAAGCAGAGUGACAAUAUACAGCCUUGAUGUACUCCUUUUCCUAUUUGAAACCAGUCUGUUUUUCCAAGUCCAGUUCUAACUGUUGCCUUGUGACCUGCAUACAGAUUUCUCAAGAGGCAGGUCAGUUGGUCUGGUAUUCCCAUCUCUUUCAGAAUUUUCCACAGUUUAUUGUGAUCCACACAGUCGAUGGCUUUCUCAUAGUCAAUAAAGUAGAAAUAGAUGUUUUUCUGGAACUCUGUGGCUUUUUCCAUGAUCCAGCGGAUGUUGGCAGUUUGAUCUCUGGUUCUUCUGCCUUUUCUAAAACCAGCUUGAACAUCUGGAAGUUCACGGUUCAUGUGUUGCUGAAGCCUGGCUUGGAGAAUUUUGAGCAUUACUUUACUAGCAUGUGAGAUGAGUGCAGUUGUGCGGUAGUUUGAGCAUUCUUUGGCAUUGCCUUUCUUUGGGAUUGGAAUGAAAACUGACCUUUUCCAGUCGUGUGGCCACUGCUGAGUUUUCCAAAUUUGCUGGCAUAUUGAGUGCAGCACUUUCACAGCGUCACCUUUUAGGAUUUGAAACAGCUCGAUUGGAAUUCCAUCCCCUCCACUAGCUUUGUUCUCUAGAUGUGUCCUAGAGCCAGUAGGAUUCCUGACAGCCAGGUGCAGAGCAUGGAAGAGCCAGCAGAAUUGGAGUGCCCAAGCCUUGGAAAGGAUGUUGCGUGUAGCUUAGAUGUGGAAGAAGCUACUGGGGGGAUCAGAGUCUGCUUAGGCCUGUGGAGUGUGAGGUAGCCUGACUGCUGGAGUUGGGAGGGAGAUCUGAGAGGGAACUGUCACUUUGGAGUCAUUUACAUAUUGAUUAUUUACACCUAAGAGCUGGAUGAGCUCACCCAGAAGGUGAGGAUAAAGGGGACAGGGAAAGCAGAGCCUGCAGCUUUAAGAAUCCAAAGGAGUUUGCUCCAGCAAAGGAGAGUAAGAAGAAGUCACUGGAUAGGGGUCUGUGUUCCUGGAGCCAUUGAGGAAAAUCAGUGUGCAGCAGAGUGAUUGGCUGUUUCAGAUGAUCCUGAUACGUGAAAACCUCAGAAUUGGCCAUUGCAUUCAUCACCCCGAGGUCCUUAAUGAAUUGGGGAGCAGAACGGACAAUACUAAAGGGGUUUUGUUGCAAAAGAGAGGGAAGAAAUGGGGCCAUAAUUUUCAAGAGAAAGAGGAUCAAGAAAAAAACUUUUUUAUUCAGAAAAAUAACAGCAUGUUUGUAAAUCAGUCUGAUCCAAUGAGGGCUUCUUUUAAAAGUGAUGCAGAACAGAAAGGGAUAUUUGUGGAGUGAUGUCUUCAGGUAGGCAGAGGAGAUUGGAGCUGGCAUCAUGCGGCUGCUCAGCCAGAGAGGAGCCUGUGGGUAACAGAUGGGCGCAGAGUCAGAGGGUGGGUGGUGGCGGGGGGAGCUUGGAAGUCCUCUGGCUUCUUCACUUGUCUUGGUGAAGUGAGAAGUGAGGCAGCAUCUGCUGAGUGAAGAUGGAGGAAGAUGAGAUGUGGGAUGUGAGGAGAGGAGAGAAAGUGUGAAUGUUGCCCAGAAGAGUGGGAAAGGGGAGGAGGGGCUCAGACUUCACUCGGCAGUUCCAGGAAGGGUUUGUUAGGACAUGGAUUGCUGGAAUUGUCUGAUUUAGUAGGGCUGAGGUAUGACCUGAGAAUUCGUUUUCUGACAACUGCCAGGCUGAGCCUCCCUGGGGACCCCAUUCUCCUCUUGGUUGCUUCAGAAGGACCAGUCUGGAUGUGCUGCGAUGAGUCAGCAGGAGGGGAAGAGCAGUUUUUCCAGCCAUGUCCCACUUGCUUUUUAGUUUAUCUGAAUUACUUUUCCUGUUUGUUGGCUUUAGUUUUUAUCUUUCAUAUUAGGAGGUCGGUCUACUAGUUUCAUGCUGCGGAAGCUGAUUGGAAAUUCUGGUCCGAGUGGUGUUGAGUGGCCUGGAUCAUCCAGUUGGGGAAGCACUGGGAUCAGUGGCUGGGAUCCAUCAGUCCCUGCUGAGCAGCCCCCCAGUGAGGAAGAAUGGACAAUGACCCUAUCUGAUGGUACUGCAACCAUGACCUUGCUCUCCUAUCCUCUGAGUCAAAGGUCAGAACUCCAUGCAGAAAAGAAGGCUCCAGUUUGUUUCAGGAAGGGGAGGAGCCCACUGCUGGGCAGGUAGGGAGGCAUCAUGGUAUCUGGGGGCCCCACCUCUUCCCUGCCCUCCAGAUGCCCUGGUGCUGCUGAGAUGCCCGCAGUGUGCAGGGUCUGGGCAGCUGCCAGAGGGCUCUUCCCUUCUUGACGUGGGCUGGGGGCUUCCUCAGGAUGCGACUGUUUUCGCCCCCUUGACUUCAUGCUCUUUGGGUAUCAGCUGGGCACAAGCUGCUCGCUGACCCUGGGAGGGCCCAAAUGCUCAGACCACAGCUCCUCUCCCCAGCUCCCCAGUGAGUUUGCAGGGCCCGGCAUGGCCCAAUGCUUUGGAGCUCACGAGAGUGUUCAGGGACUAUUCCUGAGCUAUACUGAGCACUACCCCAUGCCAUAAUCACCAUACCCGGAGCAGAACUGAAAUGUCCCGUUAAUGCACCAGCGCCUUUACC